rnacentral:rRNA from 1 species
UACGGAGGGUGCAAGCAUUAAUCGGAUUUAUUGGGCGUAAAGGGCGCGUAGGCGGAAUGAUAAGUCAGAUGUGAAAUCCUGGGGCUCAACCCCAGAACUGCAUUUGAAACUAUCUUUCUAGAGGGUGGCUGGAGAAAACGGAAUUCCACAAGUAGCGGUGAAAUGCGUAGAUAUGUGGAAGAACACCGGUGGCGAAGGCGGUUUUCUAAGUUACACCUGACGCUGAGGCGCGAAAGCUAGGGGAGCAAACAGG